rnacentral:lncRNA from 1 species
GGCAUUACUCCGUCGUUUGGGGUUGGAGGGUUUUGCUGUGACCGCGUAUGGCGAGCGAACUUCAUUGUUUUCUGGAGGAAAUGGUCAUGUUCAGACAUUAAACCUUAAUUGGGCUUUUCUUUAUGACGUUUAAUUUCCUCCACGGCAGACGCGUUUGCAUCUUGCUCUCUGCUCCCCCUCCUCCCCCCGUGGUGGAUAUGGAGGGGAGGGGGCGGCUGUGGGGGGGUCCGAAGCAAAGAGCGGCUCUGAGGCGGCCGUGGCGUUGCGGCGGAGCGGCGCGGAGGGGCGGACGGAGCCUUCACUUUGACCUUCACUUUGCGGGGCCGCCCCCGCCCACACAGACAGA